rfam:Felis catus isolate Cinnamon breed Abyssinian chromosome B3, whole genome shotgun sequence.
GCCUGGGUAGCUCAGUUGGUUGAGCGUCCAACUUUGGCUCAGGUCACGAUCUCAUGGUUUGUGGGUUCGAGCCCCACGUCGGGCU